rnacentral:rRNA from 1 species
UACGAAGGGGGGCUAGCGUUGUUCGGAUUUACUGGGCGUAAAGCGCACGUAGGCGGUUUGUUAAGUCAGAGGUGAAAUCCCGGAGCUCAACUCCGGAACUGCCUUUGAUACUGGCAAGCUAGAGUCCGGAAGAGGUAAGUGGAACUCCUAGUGUAGAGGUGGAAUUCGUAGAUAUUAGGAAGAACACCAGUGGCGAAGGCGGCUUACUGGUCCGGAACUGACGCUGAGGUGCGAAAGCGUGGGGGAGCAAACAGG